GUAAAGCGUCCGCAGGUGGCAUCUCAAGUCGGCGGUGAAAGGCUGGGGCUUAACCCCAGACCAGCCGUGGAAACUGAGGAGCUAGAGUGCGGCAGGGGUAGAGGGAAUUCCCAGUGUAGCGGUGAAAUGCGUAGAGAUUGGGAAGAACACCGGUGGCGAAAGCGCUCUACUGGACCGCAACUGACACUCAGGGACGAAAGCUAGGGGAGCGAAAGGGAUUAGAUACCCCUGUAGUCCUAGCUGUAAACGAUGGAUACUAGGCGUAGCUGGUGACCACUCCAGCUGUGCCGAAGCCAACGCGUUAAGUAUCCCGCCUGGGGAGUACGUGCGCAAGCAUGAAACUCAAAGGAAUUGACGGGGGCCCGCACAAGCGGUGGAGAAUGUGGUUUAAUUCGAUGCAACGCGAACAACCUUACCAGGGCUAGACUGGUCGCGAACCCCCUGGAAACAGGGGGUGCCUUCGGGAGCGCGACUACAGGUGGUGCAUGGCUGUCGUCAGCUCGUGUCGUGAGAUGUUGGGUUAAGUCCCGCAACGAGCGCAACCCUUAUCCUUAGUUGCCAGCAUUAAGUUGGGCACUCUAGGGAGACUGCCGGUGACAAACCGGAGGAAGGUGAGGACGACGUCAAGUCAGCAUGCCCCAUAUGCCCUGGGCAACACACGUCCUACAAUGGCGGGGACAAAGGGCAGCAAACCCGCGAGGGUGAGCGAAUCUCAGCAAACCUCGCCUCAGUUCAGAUUGCAGGCUGCAACUCGCCUGCAUGAAGGCGGAAUCGC
rnacentral:rRNA from 1 species